UCUGGUUGAUCCUGCCAGUAGUCAUAUGCUUGUCUCAAAGAUUAAGCCAUGCAUGUCUAAGUAUAAAUAGUAUACAGUGAAACUGCGAAUGGCUCAUUAGAACAGUUAUAGUUUAUUUGAUAAUUGACAAUUACAUGGAUAACCGUGGUAAUUCUAGAGCUAAUACAUGCUUAAACGCCCGACUUUAUGGAAGGGUGGUAUUUAUUAGACUGAAGCCAAUAUUCCUUGUGUCUAUUGCGGUGAUUCAUAAUAACUGAUCGAAUCUCUUUUUGAGAUAAAUCAUUCAAGUUUCUGCCCUAUCAGCUUUCGAUGGUAGUGUAUUGGACUACCAUGGCAGUAACGGGUAACGAAGAAUUAGGGUUCGAUUUCGGAGAGGGAGCAUGAGAAACGGCUACCACAUCUAAGGAAGGCAGCAGGCGCGUAAAUUACCCAAUCCUGACUCAGGGAGGUAGUGACAAGAAAUAGCAAACCGGGAACCUCAUGGUUUCACGGUAUUGCAAUGAGAACAAUUUAAAACCCUUAGCGAGAAUCAAGUGGAGGACAAGUCUGGUGCCAGCACCCGCGGUAAUUCCAGCUCCACUAGCGUAUAUUAAAGUUGUUGCAGUUAAAAAGCUCGUAGUUGAACCUCUGUCUGGGGCUAGUUUUGGCUUUGGUCAGGCUAGUUCUAGGCAUCCGCCUACAAGACUUAGAGGGCAUUCAGUUGUUCACUAGGAGGAGUAGGCAUUUUACUUUGAAAAAAUUAGAGUGUUUAAGGCAGGCAAUCGCCCGCAUAUAUUAGCAUGGAAUAAUAGAAUAGGACACUUUUCCAUUUCGUUGGUUAUUGGAAUCGUGUAAUGAUUAAUAGGGACAGUUGUGGGCAUUUGUAUUUAAUUGUCAGAGGUGAAAUUCUUGGAUUUAUUAAAGACAAACUAACGCGAAAGCAUUUGCCAAGGAUGUUUUCAUUAAUCAAGAACGAAAGUUAGGGGAUCAAAGACGAUCAGAUACCGUCCUAGUCUUAACUAUAAACUAUUCCGACUCAAUGUUUGACUGGCUUAUAUAACCAGUUGAGCGUUGUAUGAGAAAUCAAAGUCUUUAGGUUCUGGGGUGAGUAUGGUUGCAAAGCUGAAACUUAAAGGAAUUGACGGAAGAGCACAACCAGGAGUGGAUUCUGCGGCUUAAUUUGACUCAACACGGGGAAACUUACCAGGUUAAAACAAUAGUGGGAUUGACAGUUUGAGAGCGCUUUCUUGAUUGGUUGGGUGGUGGUGCAUGGCCGUUCUUAGUUGGUGGAGUGAUUUGUCUGCUUAAUUGCGUUAACGAACGAGACCUUAACCUGCUUACUAGAC
rnacentral:rRNA from 1 species